UACGUAGGGUGCGAGCGUUGUCCGGAAUCAUUGGGCGUAAAGCGCGUGUAGGCGGCCAGAAAAGUCCGCUGUGAAAACUCGAGGCUCAACUUCGAGCUGUCGGUGGAAACUUCCUGGCUAUAGUCCGGAAGAGGAGAGUGGAAUUCCCGGUGUAGCGGUGAAAUGCGCAGAUAUCGGGAAGAACACCCAUGGCGAAGGCAGCUCUCUGGGACGGUACUGACGCUGAGACGCGAAAGCGUGGGGAGCAAACAGG
rnacentral:rRNA from 1 species